UACGGAGGGUGCGAGCGUUGUCCGGAAUCACUGGGCGUAAAGGGCGCGUAGGCGGCCUGAUAAGUAGGGGGUGAAAUCCUGCGGCUUAACCGCAGGGCUGCCUUCUAAACUGUCAGGCUUGAGCACAGUAGAGGCAGGUGGAAUUCCCGGUGUAGCGGUGGAAUGCGUAGAUAUCGGGAGGAACACCAGUGGCGAAGGCGGCUCACUGGCCCGGUACUGACGCUGAGGCGCGGAAAGCG
rnacentral:rRNA from 1 species